CCGAAAUUUUUAAAUUUUUGUAAGUCUGCUAUUUAGGCAAGCAGGCUGGUAAUUAUGUAAAGAAAAGACAAAGUACUGUAUUUCUCUACUCCAGAAGCAAUAUAUUUACCUUGCAGAUCGUUGUCCGGUUGCUAGUCACUUCCUGCACGAAGAAGGAAGGAAAGAUGUAUAUUAUUUGAAGAAUCUUAAGCCAUCUUUGUUUCAGUUCAGUUUCCAUCUGAACGGAACCCUUUCCUUAUGUCCGGAUUUCUACCAUCUGUUUAAGAGGAUUUCCACCUUUCUAAUACUUCUAGACGAAGUUCAUCUUCUGCAAUCAAUUUCUUCUCAACCAAGUUUUUCUCCAAUCAAACCUACAGUUUUUACAUAUAUUUUUUGAUAUGUUGUUUAGGACUUUUUGGUUUCUUCAUGGUUCUAAAAAUUUUUCCCUUUGUGAGCAUCAGUCAAGAAAGAGGAGGUUUGGCUGCUUAUUGGACAGUUUAUGGACACUAUUCCUUCUCUGAUUGGUCCCUUUUUUCUUGGAAUUAUAAGUUAGCUCUCUCAUUAGCUACUUAUUGUGGUUCUUUAAUUUCUAUGCUGUUUUAAUAUCUUAUGUUAAUGUUAUUCUUAUACUUUUAAAUGCUGCAUUGGAGUAGUAAAGAAAGAGAAUGCAAAA